GAGAGUUUAGUCUGAGGCACCACGUCUGCCAGGGUCCCGUGGAUUACUCUCCUCUUCAUGGAGCAGCCAGGCUGACAUGACAAGAAACUACUGGGUGAUUCCGACCAGAAGAUGAAAGAAACCUGCCAGCAAGAGGAGGACACAGAAAGCAAAAUGGAAAACAAUUCCAAUAGCUGAAGCAACAGGCAGUGAUGACCUUGAAUCAGGGUGGCUGAAGCAAAGGAGGAAAUUGUCAAGUAUAUUUUGAAGGUGGGACUGACGCACUCGCUAAUAGGUGAAAGGCAAAGAGAGCUCCAGAGACGCCUCCUUGUUUUGACUGAACUACUGAAGCACUAGAAAAGAAGAGCUUUGUCACACAAAGAAACAAAGAUGAGCCAGCCAAGAAAUGUAAGGAAAAAGACAUUUGGAGACAUGAAAGUACUUAAUAUAAAAUAAAAUAAUUAUAUUUUUGGCUUUUGUA